rnacentral:rRNA from 1 species
CUGACGUGAGUAACGACAAAACGGGUGAAAAACCCGUUCGCCGAAAGACCAAGGGUUCCAGUCCAACGUUAAUCGGGGCUGGGUGAGUCGACCCCUAAGGCGAGGCCGAAAGGCGUAGUCGAUGGGAAAUUGGUUAAUAUUCCAAUACUUCUGUGUAAUGCGAUGAGAGGACGGAGAAGGUUAAGUCAGCCUGGCGUUGGUUGUCCAGGUGGAAGGAUGUAGGUAUGUAUCUUAGGCAAAUCCGGGGUACUCUAUACUGAGAUCCGAUAGCAAGCUGUACUUGUACAGCGAAGUGGCUGAUACCAUGCUUCCAGGAAAAGUCUCUAAGCUUCAGUUACACAGGAAUCGUACCCGAAACCGACACAGGUGGUCAGGUCGAGUAGACCAAGGCGCUUGAGAGAACUCUGCUGAAGGAACUAGGCAAAAUGGUACCGUAACUUCGGGAGAAGGUACGCUGUUGUUGGUGAUGGAACUUGCUUCCUGAGCUGAUGACAGCCGCAGAAACCAGGCCGCUGCAACUGUUUAUUAAAAACAUAGCACUCUGCAAACACGAAAGUGGACGUAUAGGGUGUGAUGCCUGCCCGGUGCUGGAAGGUUAAUUGAUGGGGUUAGCGUAAGCGAAGCUCUUGAUCGAAGCCCCAGUAAACGGCGGCCGUAACUAUAACGGUCCUAAGGUAGCGAAAUUCCUUGUCGGGUAAGUUCCGACCUGCACGAAUGGCAUAAUGAUGGCGGCGCUGUCUCCAGCAGAGGCUCAGUGAAAUCGAAAUCGCUGUGAAGAUGCAGUGUACCCGCGGCUAGACGGAAAGACCCCGUGAACCUUUACUGCAGCUUGACACUGAACUUUGACCUUACUUGUGUAGGAUAGGUGGGAGGCUUUGAAGUUGGAACGCUAGUUCCAAUGGAGCCGUCCUUGAAAUACCACCCUGGUAAUGUUGAGGUUCUAACUCUGUCCCGUUAUCCGGGACGAGGACCGUGUCUGGUGGGUAGUUUGACUGGGGCGGUCUCCUCCUAAAGAGUAACGGAGGAGUACGAAGGUGCGCUCAGCGUGGUCGGAAAUCACGCGUAGAGUAUAAAGGCAAAAGCGCGCUUAACUGCGAGACCCACAAGUCGAGCAGGUACGAAAGUAGGUCUUAGUGAUCCGGUGGUUCUGUAUGGAAGGGCCAUCGCUCAACGGAUAAAAGGUACUCUGGGGAUAACAGGCUGAUACCGCCCAAGAGUUCAUAUCGACGGCGGUGUUUGGCACCUCGAUGUCGGCUCAUCUCAUCCUGGGGCUGAAGCAGGUCCCAAGGGUAUGGCUGUUCGCCAUUUAAAGAGGUACGCGAGCUGGGUUUAGAACGUCGUGAGACAGUUCGGUCCCUAUCUACCGUGGGCGCUGGAAAUUUGAGAGGAUCUGCUCCUAGUACGAGAGGACCAGAGUGGACGAACCUCUGGUGUACCGGUUGUGACGCCAGUCGCAUCGCCGGGUAGCUAUGUUCGGAAGGGAUAACCGCUGAAAGCAUCUAAGCGGGAAGCCUACCUCAAGAUAAGAUUUCCCUAGGAAUUUAUUCCUCUAAAGAGCCGUUCGAGACUAGGACGUUGAUAGGUUGGAUGUGGAAGCAUAGUGAUAUGUGAAGCUGACCAAUACUAAUUGCUCGUGAGGCUUGACUAU